rnacentral:rRNA from 1 species
CGGGAACUCAAAGGAGACUGCCAGUGAUAAACUGGAGGAAGGUGGGGAUGACGUCAAGUCAUCAUGGCCCUUACGACCAGGGCUACACACGUGCUACAAUGGCGCAUACAAAGAGAAGCGACCUCGCGAGAGCAAGCGGACCUCAUAAAGUGCGUCGUAGUCCGGAUUGGAGUCUGCAACUCGACUCCAUGAAGUCGGAAUCGCUAGUAAUCGUGGAUCAGAAUGCCACGGUGAAUACGUUCCCGGGCCUUGUACACACCGCCCGUCACACCAUGGGAGUGGGUUGCAAAAGAAGUAGGUAGCUUAACCUUCG